rnacentral:rRNA from 1 species
GACAGAGGUCCCGAGCGUUAGGCGGAAUCACUGGGCUUAAAGCGUGUGUAGGCGGAUCGUUAAGUACCUUGUGAAAUCCCACGGCUCAACCGUGGAACUGCUGGGUAUACUGGCGGUCUUGGGCCAUCUAGGGGCUACCGGAACAAGCGGUGGAGCGGUGAAAUGCGUAGAUAUCGCUUGGAACGCCGAAGGUGAAAACAGGCUGCUGGGGUUGCGCCGACGCUGAGACACGAAAGCCAGGGGAGCAAACGGG